AAAAAUUAUAUCUCAGGGAGCAGAAUUUUGCUGAAGAAUGAAGUCACUACAGAAGACCUAAGAGAUUCUGUCUCAAGCUGGUCCCUUUAUAAAAUCCUGCUCCUGGUCUUAUCUCUAUAAAGGAUUUUCCAGGGUCUUGUUCAAUCACUAAUUUGCCUAGCAUGGGCUAGAAUUUGUGAUCAUCCUGCCUCAGCCUGUGCCACCAUACCCAGAUUAUUUGAUUCUUUAAAAAGAAAAAAAAAUUCUGAAGAUUAGUUAGCAUAAUUCUAACAUUUAUUUACAUUGGAAAUUAUCAUAAAGUUGGGAAAAACAUGCAGAGAUUAAUUUGCCCAGACAGUGUUCUUUGCAUCAUCCUAAAUAUCAGUGUGAAUAUCAUGUGAAAUCCAGCAUUGUUAUGUACUAAAGGAGAGAGCUGGAUAUGAACUUGAACAUUUUAUACUUUCUUCAGGUGUCUCCACACACUCCAUCACCUACUCAGACCUUCAAUUCCCAUUUUUGGUUACCAUCUCCUGGGCAUCCUAGGCCAAUUUCUUUAAUUGGCCCCAGGUCAGGUCUAGCCCUAUCCUUGUCUAUCAGCUCUGGUGUGGUCUCCAAGGCAUCACUGCUACAGGAUUGA
rnacentral:lncRNA from 1 species